UUGAAAGGGAAACGAUUGAAGUCAGUCGUACCAGCGGGAAAUCAACCUUUCGAGUGGGGUUUUGGAGUUUUGAAGUGUGUCAAAACCUUUGAGAUUUUAAAAUUUUCGCUCUUUUGGUGUACUUUCUCGUGGGUAGGUUAACAUCGAUUUUGAUCAUCAUAAAAAGAUUGGAGGAAUGUAGCUUCGAUCUUGUAUUGAAGUGUUAUAGCCUUUGGUAAAUGUGAUGAUUAGGAUCGAGGAUUGCAACGAAUACCCUUUUGGGCUAUCCGCCUGAUCUCUGAUACGUGGCCUUGGUAUCGAAAGCGUGCUUAUGGUAUUGAGGUAUUACGGUCAAAAGGUUAGAACGGAUUACAUUCGUUAAGGAUGUUGACGUA
rnacentral:rRNA from 1 species